rnacentral:rRNA from 1 species
UACGAGGGGUGCAAGCGUUGUUCGGAAUCACUGGGCGUAAAGGGAGCGCAGGCGGAAGCUCAAGCGGAUUGUACAAUACCGGGGCCCAACCCCGGACCUGCAGUCCGAACUGGGUUUCUUGGAUAGUUCAGGGGCAAGCGGAAUUCCUGGUGUAGCGGUGGAAUGCGUAGAGAUCAGGAAGAACACCGAUGGCGAAGGCAGCUUGCUGGGGACUUAUCGACGCUCAUGCUCGAAAGUGCGGGUAGCAAAC